rnacentral:lncRNA from 1 species
AAAUCUCUAUUAGACCUAAAAUUCUACUUUCUGAGAUCUUGAUCCACUUAAACCUCAAUAUCCCUUAAUUCAACUAUUAGAUCGAGCUCAAAUUCACAACACAUAUUAAACACAACUAUAACCAUAAAUCCACAAAAUUUCACCUAUAUAUCUAUAAUAAAACUCUUGAAAUCACCCAAAAUAUAAAUCCUAUUUUAUUUCAUAAAACCCAAGUCAUCCAAAACAAACCUUAACUUUGCAUAGCUCUUACAAAGUCAUAUCAACUCCAAAUCAUCUAAAUUCAAUGCUCAUAGAAAGCUUAUUUUGUCUGCUCUCAAACCUCAUUGUCAAAUCU